rnacentral:rRNA from 1 species
GUCUCUAUGAAGAUAUAUAGAGUCUGACCUGCCCGGUGUAAGUAAGUUGUAUUAACGGCCGCAGUAUCCUGACUGUGCAAAGGUAGCAUAAUCAUUUGUCUUUUAAUUAAAGGCUGGUAUGAAUGGUUUGACAAGGACUGAGCUGUCUCAAGAUAGAUUAUUAGAAUUUAACAUAUAGGUGAAAAGGCCUAUAUAAUAUUGAUAGACAAGAAGACCCUAUCGAGCUUUAAAUUUUAUAGGGUGUACCUUAGUAAUUUUUGGUUGGGGCGACAGAGGAAUAUAAUAAACUUCCUUUUAAUAAAAUACUUAUGUGUUAAGAUCCAUUAGAUGAUUAUAAGAAAAGCUACCGUAGGGAUAACAGCGUAAUUUUCUUUUAGAGUCCUUAUCGAAAAGAAAGUUUGCGACCUCGAUGUUGGACUAGAGGGGCCAAAGGGUGUAGAAGCCUUUUAGGGUUAGUCUGUUCGACUAUUAAAUCUCU